rnacentral:misc_RNA from 1 species
UACAGGGGGGCAGCAGUGGGGGAAUUUUGGACAAUGGGGGAAACCCUGAUCCAACCAUCCCGCGUGUGCGAUGAGGGCCUUCCGGGUUGUAAAGCACUUUGGCAGGAAAGAAACGGCACGGGAUAUGCGAUCACAGCUGACGUACCUGCAGAAUAAACAAGCUAACUACGUGCCAGCAGCCGCGGUAAUACGUAGGGCGCAAGCGUUAAUCGGAAUUACUGGGCGUAAAGCGUGCGCAGGCGGUUCGGAAAGAAGAAUGUGAAAUCCCAGAGCUUAACUUUGGAACUGCAUUUUUAACUAUUGAGCUAGAGUGUGUCAGAAGGAGGAAUUCAAUUCCCGCGUGUAGCAGUGAAAUGCGUAGAUAUGCGGAGGAACACAAGUGGCGAAGGCAGCCUCCUGGGGUAACACUGACGCUCAUGCACGAAAGCGUGGGAGCAGAACAGGAUUAGAUACCCUUGUAGU